AGAGUUUGAUCCUGGCUCAGAACGAACGUUAGCGGCGCGCCUAACACAUGCAAGUCGAGCGAGAAAGGGCUUCGGCCCCGGUACAGCGGCGCACGGGUGAGUAACACGUAGGUAAUCUUCCCUCGAGCGGGGGAUAACCCUCCGAAAGGAGGGCUAAUACCGCAUAAGACCACGGGAGCGAAAGCGACUGAGGUCAAAGCCGGCCUCUCUACAGAAGCUGGCACUUGAGGAUGAGCCUGCGGCCCAUCAGCUAGUUGGUAGGGUAAUGGCCUACCAAGGCGAAGACGGGUAGCUGGUCUGAGAGGAUGAUCAGCCACACUGGAACUGAGACACGGUCCAGACUCCUACGGGAGGCAGCAGUGGGGAAUCUUGCGCAAUGGGCGAAAGCCUGACGCAGCGACGCCGCGUGAGUGAUGAAGGCCUUCGGGUUGUAAAGCUCUGUGGAGGGGGACGAAUAAGUCGGAGCGAACAGCUCCGAUGAUGACGGUACCCUUUUAGCAAGCACCGGCUAACUCUGUGCCAGCAGCCGCGGUAAGACAGAGGGUGCAAACGUUGUUCGGAAUUACUGGGCGUAAAGCGCGUGUAGGCGGCUCUGAUAAGUGAGGUGUGAAAGCCCUGGGC
rnacentral:rRNA from 1 species